rnacentral:rRNA from 1 species
GACGAACGCUGGCGGCGUGCUUAACACAUGCAAGUCGAACGGUAAGGCCCUUCGGGGUACACGAGUGGCGAACGGGUGAGUAACACGUGGGUGAUCUGCCCUGCACUUCGGGAUAAGCCUGGGAAACUGGGUCUAAUACCGGAUAGGACUCCGGACUGCAUGGUCUGGGGUGGAAAGCUUUUGCGGUGUGGGAUGGGCCCGCGGCCUAUCAGCUUGUUGGUGGGGUGAUGGCCUACCAAGGCGACGACGGGUAGCCGGCCUGAGAGGGUGACCGGCCACACGGGGACUGAGAUACGGCCCAGACUCCUACGGGAGGCAGCAGUGGGGAAUAUUGCACAAUGGGCGCAAGCCUGAUGCAGCGUCGCCGCGUGAGGGAUGACGGCCUUCGGGUUGUAAACCUCUUUCAGCUAUGACGAAGCGCAAGUGACGGUAGUAGCAGAAGAAGGACCGGCCAACUACGUGCCAGCAGCCGCCGUAA